rnacentral:rRNA from 1 species
GUGGGGAAUAUUGGACAAUGGGGGGAACCCUGAUCCAGCCAUGCCGCGUGUGUGAAGAAGGCCUUUUGGUUGUAAAGCACUUUAAGCGAGGAGGAGGCUACCGAGAUUAAUACUCUUGGAUAGUGGACGUUACUCGCAGAAUAAGCACCGGCUAACUCUGUGCCAGCAGCCGCGGUAAUACAGAGGGUGCAAGCGUUAAUCGGAUUUACUGGGCGUAAAGCGCGCGUAGGUGGCCAAUUAAGUCAAAUGUGAAAUCCCCGAGCUUAACUUGGGAAUUGCAUUCGAGACUGGUUGGCUAGAGUAUGGGAGAGGAUGGUAGAAUUCCAGGUGUAGAGGUGAAAUGCGUAGAGAUCUGGAGGAAUACCGAUGGCGAAGGCAGCCAUCUGGCCUAAUACUGACACUGAGGUGCGAAAGCAUGGGGAGCAAACAGGAUUAGAAACCCUUGUAGUCC